rnacentral:tRNA from 1 species
GAGGGCAUAGCCAGGUGGUGGAGUGUGUGCUUGGCAUUCAUGAGGUCCUGGGUUCAAUCCCCAGUACCCCCA